UGGGGAAUUUUGGACAAUGGACGCAAGUCUGAUCCAGCAAUGCCGCGUGCAGGAUGAAGGCCUUCGGGUUGUAAACUGCUUUUGUACGGAACGAAAAGCUUCUGGUUAAUACCUGGGAGUCAUGACGGUACCGUAAGAAUAAGCACCGGCUAACUACGUGCCAGCAGCCGCGGUAAUACGUAGGGUGCGAGCGUUAAUCGGAAUUACUGGGCGUAAAGCGUGCGCAGGCGGUGAUGUAAGACAGAGGUGAAAUCCCCGGGCUCAACCUGGGAACUGCCUUUGUGACUGCAUGGCUAGAGUGCGGCAGAGGGGGAUGGAAUUCCGCGUGUAGCAGUGAAAUGCGUAGAUAUGCGGAGGAACACCGAUGGCGAAGGCAAUCCCCUGGGCCUGCACUGACGCUCAUGCACGAGAGCGUGGGGAGCAAACA
rnacentral:rRNA from 1 species